rnacentral:rRNA from 1 species
CCUACGGGAUGCUGCAGUGAGGAAUAUUGGUCAAUGGACGAGAGUCUGAACCAGCCAAGUAGCGUGAAGGAUGACUGCCCUAUGGGUUGUAAACUUCUUUUAUAUGGGAAUAAAACGUUCCACGUGUGGGAUUUUGUAUGUACCAUAUGAAUAAGGAUCGGCUAACUCCGUGCCAGCAGCCGCGGUAAUACGGAGGAUCCGAGCGUUAUCCGGAUUUAUUGGGUUUAAAGGGAGCGUAGGUGGAUUGUUAAGUCAGUUGUGAAAGUUUGCGGCUCAACCGUAAAAUUGCAGUUGAAACUGGCAGUCUUGAGUACAGUAGAGGUGGGCGGAAUUCGUGGUGUAGCGGUGAAAUGCUUAGAUAUCACGAAGAACUCCGAUUGCGAAGGCAGUUCACUGGACUGCAACUGACACUGAGGCUCGAAAGUGUGGGUAUCAAACAGGAUUAGAUACCCUAGUAGUC